rnacentral:rRNA from 1 species
UCCUACGGGAGGCAGCAGUAGGGAAUCUUCCGCAAUGGACGAAAGUCUGACGGAGCAACGCCGCAUGAGUGAUGAAGGCUUUCGGGUCGUAAAACUCUGUUGUUAGGGAAGAACAAGUGCUAGUUGAAUAAGCUGGCACCUUGACGGUACCUAACCAGAAAGCCACGGCUAACUACGUGCCAGCAGCCGCGGUAAUACGUAGGUGGCAAGCGUUAUCCGGAAUUAUUGGGCGUAAAGCGCGCGCAGGUGGUUUCUUAAGUCUGAUGUGAAAGCCCACGGCUCAACCGUGGAGGGUCAUUGGAAACUGGGAGACUUGAGUGCAGAAGAGGAAAGUGGAAUUCCAUGUGUAGCGGUGAAAUGCGUAGAGAUAUGGAGGAACACCAGUGGCGAAGGCGACUUUCUGGUCUGUAACUGACACUGAGGCGCGAAAGCGUGGGGAGCAAACAGGAUUAGAUACCCUGGUAGUCCACGCCGUAAACGAUGAGUGCUAAGUGUUAGAGGGUUUCCGCCCUUUAGUGCUGAAGUUAACGCAUUAAGCACUCCGCCUGGGGAGUACGGCCGCAAGGCUGAAACUCAAAGGAAUUGACGGA